AGACAUCUAUUGUAGCAUGAGAACCGACAUCCAAAGUGGAAUCUUUCGAAGAAUGUGAAACAUAGUUGUGAUGUCUUUGAAGAAAAUAAGAUCAUUUCAGAAUGGAAUGCCAGGAAGCAUCUAAAAUUUUUUAUAAUAAGUUAAUAAAGUUUUCAUCUUUUACUUGGUUCACAACAGAAUAAGGAUCAAAUCUCUAAAGGAUUCUGAAUCCAAAGCCUCACAAAGGUUUGAACGAACAAACCCUUUACUUCAUGUGCAUGUCAGGCUUCCAAGGAAAGCAAGAUGAAGUGUUGAAUUAUUGUACCUCCACAAAGUAGCAAGGAGGGGAGGGAG
rnacentral:lncRNA from 1 species